rnacentral:rRNA from 1 species
CUUCCUUCGGGAAGUGGAUUAGCGGCGGACGGGUGAGUAACACGUGGGUAACCUGCCUCAAAGUGGGGGAUAGCCUUCCGAAAGGAAGAUUAAUACCGCAUAAUAUGAGAGAAUCGCAUGAUUUUCUCAUCAAAGAUUUAUUGCUUUGAGAUGGACCCGCGGCGCAUUAGCUAGUUGGUAAGGUAACGGCUUACCAAGGCAACGAUGCGUAGCCGACCUGAGAGGGUGAUCGGCCACAUUGGAACUGAGACACGG